rnacentral:lncRNA from 1 species
GGUGAGUGCGUGGAGUGCCUGGUCCCUGAGCCCCUGGGGCCGUGGUUCUCCUUGUCUGUGUCUGGCAUGAGAGCAGAUGGGGUCUUUGCCUUGAAAUGAAUCCCUCCCCAAGUCAAGCACCAGCCACGGGCUCUUUCCCCAGCCACAGGAACUGACCCCCACCUCUCCCUGGGGGGCUACGAGGCCGGAGGCGUCCGGGUGCUGUGUCGAUCGGCCGGCUGGUACCCGCUGCCGCAGCUGCUGUGGAGGGAUGCUCGCGGGCAGCACCUGCCCUCGGUCUCCCAGACACAUUCCCAGGACCAGGAGGGGCUCUUUGAAAUCGAAGGUGCCGUCAUCAUGACCGGGAGUGUGGAGGGGCCCUUGUCCUGCGUGGUCAGGAGCAGCCGCCUGCAGCAGGAAUGGGAAUUUUCCCUGCACAUUGCAGGUACAAAUGGCACAGCCAGGGUGAGGUGUUCCUGGCCCCUGCACUUGUCCCGAGCCGGGAGAAGUCUGGGUCUUGCUCUUCCACCCACGGGCAUGGAUACACAGCCCUUUUCCUGGUGCCUUUUCUCAGCUCCCUUCUUCCACAAUGCCCAGCCCUGGAUGGUGGCUCUGGCUCUGGUCCUGGUGCUUUUGGCUGUGUCCAUUGGCCUCGGUGUUUAUCUAUUUCGAAAGCAAGCGGCACAGAGCCGAGAGCUGGGUGAAUCCUUGCAGUCCCUGCCCCCAACCCUGGGGAAGUGGUGUCUGUGUGGGAGGGCCUAGGCUGGGUGGGCUCAGGGGGCUUGUGUGCUGGUGGCUCGGGGGUGCUGGAGGAGCAGCUGGAGCCUGGGGUGGGAGUGGGGAGUGCUGGGGCUGGGGCUGCCCUGGGCACGGGACACAGCCGGGAUGGCUGAAAGGAGCAGGGAUCAAGGUGGGGACGGGGAGCGAGCUGUGGGGCUGCCCCACUCUGCACUGAUGCUUCUGGGACAGGGACGUCCUCCACCCAUCCCCAUUCACUUCCCCUUGUGUUUUGGUGGCUAGGUGCAGAGAGCUGCAUAAGUGUCUGUUCUUCAAGCUAGAAGUCUUGCAAAAUGCUAGCCCUAGGUCUUUGUUAGUGGGGUCGCUACAAGUCUGGGAGCAAGGUCGUCUGUGCCCAUGCAUGAGAGCAAAAAAUUUGGGGUCUAGCCAUCUAGCCAUGGAAGCAGCAAUGUGGUGAAAGUCUCUCCACUCUGACCAUUCAUUCCUUUUGCUUUUUAUAGCAGCAAAAAAGGAUGCAAAGCUGGGUAAGUCUCCUUCCCCAAAGAGAAGGCAUUUGGUGUCUUACCAUGGGCAUACUCCCAUCUGACAGUACAUUGCUUUUCUUUUUCUUUUCCAGUGGAACAGGCUGCAGAGAUAGGUGAGUGUCCAUCCCUGAACUGGAAGAAUUUGCAGUGUAGACAAUGGAUGAGAAGUUUUU